UAGCUAGUUGGUGAGGUAACGGCUUACCAAGGCGACGAUCUGUAGCGGGUCUGAGAGGAUGAUCCGCCACACUGGAACUGAGACACGGUCCAGACUCCUACGGGAGGCAGCAGUGGGGAAUUUUGGACAAUGGGGGCAACCCUGAUCCAGCCAUGCCGCGUGAGUGAAGAAGGCCUUCGGGUUGUAAAGCUCUUUCGGCCGGGAAGAAAUCGCAUGGGCCAAUACCCUGUGUGGAUGACGGUACCGGAAUAAGAAGCACCGGCUAACUACGUGCCAGCAGCCGCGGUAAUACGUAGGGUGCGAGCGUUAAUCGGAAUUACUGGGCGUAAAGCGUGCGCAGGCGGUUUUGUAAGACAGGCGUGAAAUCCCCGGGCUCAACCUGGGAACUGCGUUUGUGACUGCAAGGCUAGAGUACGGCAGAGGGGGGUGGAAUUCCACGUGUAGCAGUGAAAUGCGUAGAGAUGUGGAGGAACACCAAUGGCGAAGGCAGCCCCCUGGGUCGAUACUGACGCUCAUGCACGAAAGCGUGGGUAGCAAACAGGAUUAGAUACCCUGGUAGUCCACGCCCUAAACUAUGUCAACUAGGUGUUGGGUGGGUAAAACCAUUUAGUACCGUAGCUAACGCGUGAAGUUGACCGCCUGGGGAGUACGGCCGCAAGGUUAAAACUCAAAGGAAUUGACGGGGACCCGCACAAGCGGUGGAUGAUGUGGAUUAAUUCGAUGCAACGCGAAAAACCUUACCUACCCUUGACAUGCCAGGAACUUGCCAGAGAUGGCUUGGUGCCCGAAAGGGAGCCUGGACACAGGUGCUGCAUGGCUGUCGUCAGCUCGUGUCGUGAGAUGUUGGGUUAAGCCCCGCAACGAGCGCAACCCUUGUCGUUAAUUGCCAUCAUUUAGUUGGGCACUUUAGCGAGACUGCCGGUGACAAACCGGAGGAAGGUGGGGAUGACGUCAAGUCCUCAUGGCCCUUAUGGGUAGGGCUUCACACGUCAUACAAUGGUCGGUACAAAGGGUCGCCAAGCCGCGAGGUGGAGCCAAUCCCAGAAAGCCGAUCGUAGUCCGGAUUGCAGGCUGCAACUCGCCUGCAUGAAGUCGGAAUCGCUAGUAAUCGUGGAUCAGCAUGUCACGGUGAAUACGUUCCCGGGUCUUGUACACACCGCCCGUCACACCAUGGGAGCGGGUUCCGCCAGAAGUAGGUAGCCUAACCGCAAGGAGGGCGCUUACCACGGCGGGGUUCGUGACUGGGGUGAAGUCGUAACAAGGUAGCCGUAGGGGACCUGCGGCUG
rnacentral:rRNA from 1 species